AGAGUUUGAUCCUGGCUCAGAACGAACGCUGGCGGCAGGCCUAACACAUGCAAGUCGAACGUGAAGCCACCUUCGAGUGGUGGAAAGUGGCAGACGGGUGAGUAAUGCAUCGGAACGUGUCCUUUUGUGGGGGAUAACCAGUCGAAAGACUGGCUAAUACCGCAUGAGCUCGCAAGAGGAAAGCAGGGGACCCGCAAGGGCCUUGCGCGAGAGGAGCGGCCGAUGCCGGAUUAGCUAGUUGGUGGGGUAACGGCCCACCAAGGCGACGAUCCGUAGCUGGUCUGAGAGGACGACCAGCCACACUGGGACUGAGACACGGCCCAGACUCCUACGGGAGGCAGCAGUGGGGAAUUUUGGACAAUGGGGGCAACCCUGAUCCAGCCAUGCCGCGUGUGUGAAGAAGGCCUUCGGGUUGUAAAGCACUUUCGGACGGAACGAAAUCGCGCGGGCGAAUAUCCCGCGUGGAUGACGGUACCGUAAGAAGAAGCACCGGCUAACUACGUGCCAGCAGCCGCGGUAAUACGUAGGGUGCGAGCGUUAAUCGGAAUUACUGGGCGUAAAGUGUGCGCAGGCGGCUCCGCAAGUCGAGUGUGAAAUCCCCGAGCUUAACUUGGGAAUUGCGCUCGAAACUAGGGAGCUGGAGUGUGGCAGAGGAAGGUGGAAUUCCACGUGUAGCGGUGAAAUGCGUAGAGAUGUGGAGGAACACCGAUGGCGAAGGCAGCCUUCUGGGCCAACACUGACGCUCAUGCACGAAAGCGUGGGGAGCAAACAGGAUUAGAUACCCUGGUAGUCCACGCCCUAAACGAUGAUGACUAGUUGUUGGAGGAGUUAAAUCCUUUAGUAACGCAGCUAACGCGUGAAGUCAUCCGCCUGGGGAGUACGGUCGCAAGAUUAAAACUCAAAUGAAUUGACGG
rnacentral:rRNA from 1 species